rnacentral:lncRNA from 1 species
CUUCCAGGUUGCCUUAUGGAUAGAAUUUGACUGCUGAAGUUCCAGUCAUCACACCCACAUUCUAGUUAGAAACAAGAGAAAAGGGUAGAAAGAUACCUUAUAGCUGAGUAAUAUUUAACAAGUUACUUUCACUUAAAAAAAUUGUGGUAGAUUGUCUGCCAAGGACUGCCAAUAACUCCUAUAGGCCCAUAUCACUUUUCCCAUCAAGAAAAUGGAAGCUGUUUCUCUUUCCCUGUGUCAGGACUGGCCCUAUGACUUGCCUAGGAAGGACUUGUGCUUCUAUUUUCAUCCUCUUGUGACCCAGCCACUGUGUAAAAAAGCUUGGAUUCAACUAAGGAGUUAUGAAGCACUGUGUGAACAGAGGCCCAGCACAGCAAUAUCCAGUCAGCUCUGGCAGGAGAGGGAUGUGGCUCUGUGAGGGUCUUGUCGACCAUAGGGGCUGUGGGAGGGGCAGGCUCCCUGGGACAGUGCCAUGAAUGUGGCCAUCAAUGUUCUUCUCUUCCAGUGUUGUGAGCAGGAAUGAGGCAGGGGAGGAGCAUAACGGACAUGGUGCAUUUGCCCUUGUGCUCAGGAAUAACUGAAUCAAGUCCUGGCUACACUCCUUCCUGCCUGUGUGACCUGUAGCAGGCUUUGCUGCACUUUGUCUCAGCUUUCUCAACUGUAAAGUGGGACUAUGGUGCCCAUUUCAGAGGGUUGUUGUGAAGAUCAAGUAAAAUAGGUAAUAUGUGCUCCACUAAGUGGGAGCCAUUAUGUACUGUUGUUGAAACUUACAUGAGCAACUGUGGGCUCCCUUUUGGCAUCCAUGUUUCUUGAAAAGUUGGUUAUCAACCAAUGGCAGUUUCCAUACAGAUGUGCUUCAUAAAAUUGAGAAUUCUUUCUACUGAAAGGGUUUUUUUCUACUGAUAUCACUACAUUUAAAAACUUAUUUUUUAUUAGCAUUCCUUUCAGGAUUUUUUUCUUAUCAAUCUUCUGUGUAUGUUACUUUUGAUUUUUCCCUCUUUCAUAUUAUUAUUAUUAUUUGGUACUGGGGAUUGGGGAUUGAACUCAGGGGUGUUUUAUCACAGAGCUGCAUCCCCCAGCCCUUUUUAUUUCUUAUUUUGAG